AGAGUUUGAUCAUGGCUCAGGAUGAACGCUGGCGGCGUGCCUAACACAUGCAAGUCGAACGAAGCACGUCUUGUUGAUCCUCCGGGUGAAACGAAAGUGACUGAGUGGCGGACGGGUGAGUAACGCGUGGGUAACCUGCCCUGUACAGGGGGAUAACAGUCAGAAAUGACUGCUAAUACCGCAUAAGCGCACGGAGGGACAUCCUUCUGUGUGAAAAAACUCCGGUGGUACAGGAUGGGCCCGCGUCUGAUUAGCUAGUUGGCGGGUAAGGGCCCACCAAGGCGACGAUCAGUAGCCGGUCUGAGAGGAUGAACGGCCACAUUGGAACUGAGACACGGUCCAAACUCCUACGGGAGGCAGCAGUGGGGAAUAUUGCACAAUGGGGGGAACCCUGAUGCAGCAACGCCCGCGUGAGUGAAGAAGUAUUUCGGUAUGUAAAGCUUCUAGUCAGCAGGGAAGAUAAUGACGGUACCUGACUAAGAAGCUCCGGCUAAAUACGUGCCAGCAGCUGC
rnacentral:rRNA from 1 species